GUAGGGUGCGAGCGUUAAUCGGAAUUACUGGGCGUAAGGCGUGCGCAGGCGGUCUGUUAAGACAGAUGUGAAAUCCCCGGGCUCAACCUGGGAACUGCAUUUGUGACUGGCAGGCUAGAGUACGGCAGAGGGGGGUAGAAUUCCACGUGUAGCAGUGAAAUGCGUAGAGAUGUGGAGGAAUACCGAUGGCGAAGGCAGCCCCCUGGGCCAAUACUGACGCUCAUGCACGAAAGCGUGGGGAGCAAACAGGAUUAGAUACCCUGGUAGUCCACGCCCCUAAACGAUGUCAACUAGUUGUUGGGGAUUCAUUUCCUUAGUAACGUAGCUAACGCGUGAAGUUGACCGCCUGGGAGUACGGUCGCAAGAUUA
rnacentral:rRNA from 1 species